CCUACGGGGGGCUGCAGUGGGGAAUAUUGGACAAUGGGGGGAACCCUGAUCCAGCCAUGCCGCGUGUGUGAAGAAGGCCCUCGGGUUGUAAAGCACUUUCAGUGAGGAAGAAAGCCUGGUGGUUAAUACCCAUCAGGAAAGACAUCACUCACAGAAGAAGCACCGGCUAACUCCGUGCCAGCAGCCGCGGUAAUACGGAGGGUGCGAGCGUUAAUCGGAAUUACUGGGCGUAAAGCGCGCGCAGGUGGCUUGAUAAGCCGGUUGUGAAAGCCCCGGGCUCAACCUGGGAACGGCAUCCGGAACUGUCAAGCUAGAGUGCAGGAGAGGAAGGCAGAAUUCCCGGUGUAGCGGUGAAAUGCGUAGAGAUCGGGAGGAAUACCAGUGGCGAAGGCGGCCUUCUGGACUGACACUGACACUGAGGUGCGAAAGCGUGGGUAGCAAACAGGAUUAGAUACCCGGGUAGUC
rnacentral:rRNA from 1 species